AUUUGUUUAAUCAUAUUUAAUAUUUGUUUUAUUUAUUUGUUUCAUUUUGUAUUUAUCAUUUUAAUAACAAUGCCGCGUCCUAGAAGAUCCAAUCUUUCCCAGCGAAGCCGUAAUGGCACUUAGGCAACGGAAUAUCGCGAGUCAAUUAUCUGAAAUUGCACGAGAACAGCGCCGCGUUAAUAUGGAGCAAAGAAGGGCCUUAAUUCGUGCUUCUCAUCAGAUACGCACAUUAUUUGCUAUCAUCAUUUCAACAUGCUUCAUGUUGAAGCCUUACAGACUUCAACUGUCUGUAAAUAUGAGAGUUGCAUUGUUGAACGAUCUAUCUGCUAAUGUGUUCCUGUUGACAAAUCGAGCGGUUUGAUUUAAUUUCCUCCAAAUUUAUGCAAUUUCGUAUCAUCAAAAGCCGAGCUUAUCAACAACGUGUAUUCCCGGAUAUCAUUGCUAACCACAAAAAUACUAAAUGGUUAAGUCAGCGAGCAAUUUUGGCCGCUAAAAAUAAAGAUGUAGAUGACCUCAAUCUUAUAAUUCAAAAUCAAAUUGUAGGUACUCUAUAUUCAUUCAAAUUUAUCGACUGUGUAACAAACGAAGAAGAAGCCACUAAGUAUCCAACUGAAUUUUUAAACUCCUUGGAUGUGCCUGGCUUACCACCGCACAAUUUAAAACUUAAAGUUGGCUCGGUAGUCAUCAUGCUUAGAAAUUCAAACCAACCAAAACUGUGCAAUGGAACGCGUUUGGUGAUAAGAAAACUGAUGAGCAAUGUGAUUCACGCGUCGAUACUUCAAGGAAAAUUUAAAGAUGAGGAAGUUCUUAUUCCAAGGAUUCCGAUGAUCCCAACGGAUAUGCCCUUUGAGUUUAAACGAAUUCAAUUCCCGAUUCGUCUUGGCUUCGCCAUGACGAUCAACAAAUCACAGGGCCAAUCCUUGACUAUUUGUGGCCUCAAUCUAGAAAAUGAAUGUUUUUCUCAUGGUCAAUUGUACGUGGCAUGCUCACGUGUCGGCAAACCAUUCGCUUUAUUUCUUCUUGCGCCUGACCAAAAAACAAAGAAUGUCGUUUACCAAAAAGUGCUUGAAUGAAAAUCCUAUUACCAUCGCAUUGGAUUAUUGCAACCUAUAGAAGAUGCACAUAAAUUCUUGCAAUAUGGACAAUAUGGAAGAACAACUUGACAGGCGUCAAGGGAUCAACACAGCUACGAAGAGAGCAAUUCUCCAAGAUCUACAGCAAAUGCUUCAUGAACAUCAUGCAUUGGUAAGGCUGUUCAAGACUGCUUUAGGGCGCAUGCCAAGUGAUUGCAAUUCGGUCAAGUCAAUUAAAUACAUUUGCAAAUAUGUCACGAAAGGAGCGACAUGGCGGUUUUUGGUAUCCAAACAUCCGAUACCAACGAUGAAAUCACGCGCUAUCAAGUUGGUACUUUUUUGUUUCUAUCUAUAUAAACAUAUUAUUUUGUAUCAUUGUUUUACGUUCAUCAAAGCCUAAAUUAGUUCAGCUAAAAAGUAACACGACAUUCAUUGACUGUUAGGCGGUGCGAAGUUCGCCGGGUCAGCUAGUUAAACAAAUAAAUAAAACAAUUAUUAAAUAUGAUUAAACAAAUACAAAUUGAC
rnacentral:lncRNA from 1 species